AUCCAAAAUUACCGGAUUUGAACAAAAUGCUACAGAGAGGCUCUGGAAAUCAUUCAGUGUUCACAAUUGACUGAUCUUGAUUCUUGAGCAUGAAAGAGCUCAAGUCCUCGCAGCCAUCAUUGUGAUUCAGCGAGAAAACAGAAGAAAGAAGAAGAGAUCCCAAAAGUCAAUUGGACAGGAUAAAAAACAACCAACAAGACAGACCUCCUCAAAAAGAAUCCACCCAGGCAGAAGUGGAAAAGUACAAAGAGCUCUAUCUGGUGGAAGCCAAAACCAGAAAAAGCCUCGCCAAGAAACUGGAAAGAGCUGAUGAGAGACUUGCAGAGGCCAACACCAAGCUCCUUUUGGAGAGCCAUAGAAGCAGAUCUGCUGUCACAAGCAG